rnacentral:rRNA from 1 species
CAGCCGCCGCGUAAUACGAAGGGUGCAAGCGUUAAUCGGAAUUACUGGGCGUAAAGCGUGCGUAGGCGGUGAGUUAAGUCUGCUGUGAAAUCCCCGGGCUCAACCUGGGAAUGGCAGUGGAUACUGGCUCGCUAGAGUGUGUCAGAGGAUGGUGGAAUUCCCGGUGUAGCGGUGAAAUGCGUAGAGAUCGGGAGGAACAUCAGUGGCGAAGGCGGCCAUCUGGGACAACACUGACGCUGAGGCACGAAAGCGUGGGGAGCAAACAGGAUUAGAUACCCCGGUAGUCCCUGUCUCUUAUACA